AGGGAAUCUUCCACAAUGGACGAAAGUCUGAUGGAGCAACGCCGCGUGAGUGAUGAAGGUUUUCGGAUCGUAAAACUCUGUUGUAAGGGAAGAACCAGUACGUCAGGCAAUGGACGUACCUUGACGGUACCUUAUUAGAAAGCCACGGCUAACUACGUGCCAGCAGCCGCGGUAAUACGUAGGUGGCAAGCGUUGUCCGGAAUUAUUGGGCGUAAAGAGCACGUAGGCGGCCUUGCAAGUCAGAUGUGAAAUCCAACGGCUUAACCGUUGAACUGCAUUUGAAACUGCAAGGCUAGAGUAUGGGAGAGGUAGGUGGAAUUCUCGGUGUAGGGGUAAAAUCCGUAGAGAUCGAGAGGAAUACUCAUUGCGAAGGCGACCUGCUGGAACAUUACUGACGCUGAGGUGCGAAAGCGUGGGGAGCAAACA
rnacentral:rRNA from 1 species